UAGUAACUGCGAGUGAAGCGGGAAGAGCUCAAAUUUUAAAUCUGGCGGUCCUCGUGGUCGUCCGAGUUGUAAUCUAGAGAAGCGUUUUCCGCGCUGGACCGUGUACAAGUCUCCUGGAACGGAGCGUCAUAGAGGGUGAGAAUCCCGUCUCUGACACGGACUACCAGGGCUUUUGUGAUGCGCUCUCGACGAGUCGAGUUGUUUGGGAAUGCAGCUCAAAUUGGGUGGUAAAUUCCAUCUAAAGCUAAAUAUAGGCGAGAGACCGAUAGCGAACAAGUACCGUGAGGGAAAGAUGAAAAGAACUUUGGAAAGAGAGUUAAACAGUACGUGAAAUUGCUGAAAGGGAAACGCUUGAAGUCAGUCGCGUUGGCCGGGGAUCAGCCUUGCAAUCUUGUUGGGUGCAUUUCCUGGUUGACGGGUCAGCAUCAAUUUUGACCGUCGGAGAAGGGUUGAGGGAAUGUGGCAUCUUUCGGGGUGUGUUAUAGCCUUUGAUCGUAUGCGACGGUUGGGAUUGAGGAACUCAGCAUGACCCCUCGUGGGUUUGGGGCUUCGGCUCACAUCCAUGCUUAGGAUGCUGGCAUAAUGGCUUUAAUCGACCCGUCUUGAAACACGGACCAAGGAGUCUAACAUGCCCGCGAGUGUUUGGGUGUUUAAAACCCGAGCGCGUAAUGAAAGUGAAAGUUGAGACCUCUGUCGUGGAGGGCAUCGACGCCCGGACCAGAACUUUUGUGACGGCCCUGCGGUAGAGCGUGUAUGUUGGGACCCGAAAGAUGGUGAACUAUGCCUGAAUAGGGUGAAGCCAGAGGAAACUCUGG
rnacentral:rRNA from 1 species